rnacentral:tRNA from 1 species
CCGCGACCGGGUGGGCGACCGCGACCGGCGGUGUUUCUGCCGCGGCCGCGCUGACCAGCCAGUUCACCUCCGGCGUCGCGGC